CAGCUUGGCAGUCUUCUCAGCGUGUAGCCUGGUAACCACGACCUCUCCGCCAGGUCCUGUGUGUUGCUGGCUGGAGAAGGGUAGUUGAAAACUCAGACCAAGCACAGUGUUUAUUUUGGUCAAAACUGGAAGACUGUGUCCGGGCGCGGCCGAGGCUGGAGGAUCCCUUCAGGCCAAGAGCAGCCUAGCAAUAUGGCGCGACCGGAUCUCUGCAGUCCUACCUCAGCCCCCCAGCUACUUGAACCCCAAAGUUCGAGGCUCCAAUGAGCUAUGAUCCCACCACAGCAUUGCAGCCUGCCAGACUGAGACAUGAACUUAUGAAUUCAACACAUGAAGAUUUACAACUUGAUAAACCAGCUUUAGGAGAUUGAGAAAACUUGUAUUCCUGUGAUUUCGAUAGCGAAGGAAGUAUGGUAUACCAGAAUCACUAAAUUAUGAAAGAUGGUGGAUCAGCUUUUUGCAAAAAAAUUUGCUGAAGCCUUGGGGAGCACUGAAGCCAAGGCUGUACCAUACCAAAAAUUUGAAACACAUGUGAAUGAGCUGAAUGUGGAAGGACUACCAGAAAACAUUCCUUUCAGAAGCCCCUCAUUACAUGGAAUCCCAAGGCUCGAAAACAUCUUUCAAGUGGCCAAUCGAAUUAAGUUUGUUAUUAAGAGUAACUCCAGUUAGCCUCCAUUGUCUCCAAGCUGCCUUUCAUCCUCAUCCACAACUCCUCCACACAAGCUCUGAACACCUGUCCAUGCUGGAGUGCAAUGGUGCGAUCUUGGCUAACCACAACAUCUGCCUCCCGGGUUCAAGCAAUUCUCAUCCCUCAGCCUCCAGAGUAGCUGGGAUUACAGGCAUGCACCACCACACCUGGCUAAUUCUGUAAAAAUAGUAGAGACAGAGUUUCUUCAUGUUGGUCAGGCUGGUCUCAAACUCCCCACCUCAGGUGAUGUGCUCACCUCGGCCUCCCAAAGUGCUGGGAUUACAGGCGUGAGCCACUGCACCCAGUGAGUAUCACUCUUUAAUCAUAAAGUCAGAGUAUGUUAAGAUUGGAGGGGAUAUGGGAGACUAUUUGGUUCACUUUUCUCAUUGAUGAGAGAAUAACAGAGCAUUGAAAAGUAAGGUAAUUAUUCACAAUCGUAAAGCUAUAUGGGUCAAUCUGAAAUUAGGCUUCUUACAUCAGAUUCUGUAGCCUUUCCUACAUGUGUUCUCCCCAGACUGAGACAGUUCAUGGGCCUUCAGGUUUGACAGUCUUCUCUCCAGUCUCCAAACAGGAGCUUUUAUCUGGAGAUUCUAGGUUAGCAUAGAUGGACGAUGACCCUGCAAUGUGUAGAAAAUCCCAAAGGUUGACCACUGUCAGUGGGAACCACCCCAGAUGUGUCAGGAGCACCACAGGCAUGCUCACUCCUCCAUUCACUGGAGCUGUGUAGGGUGGAAGGGAAACCCAAAUCAAGACCUGCUGCUGCUUUAGUUCUUUUAUUGCAUGUCACAAUCCAAUGUGUCUCCAUUUAAAUUCAGAUUUUUUGAUAGAUGGUCAGACCAGCUGCAGGCCCUUUGGGCCAGAAGUCUCGAUCUUUUAUUUUUAUUUUAUUAUUAUUAUACUUUAAGUUUUAGGGUACAUGUGCACAAUGUGCAAGUUUGUUACAUAUGUAUACAUGUGUCAUGUUGGCGUGCUGUACCCGUUAACUCGUCAUUUAGCAUUAGGUAUAUCUCCUAAUGCUAUCCCUCCCCCCUUCCCCCACCCCACAACUGUCCCCGGUGUGUUAUGUUCCCCUUCCUGUGUCCAUGUGUUCUCAUUGUUCAGUUCUCAGCUAUGAGUGAGAACAUGAGGUGUUUGGUUUUUUGUCCUUGUGUUAGUUUGCUGAGAAUGAUGGCUUCCAGCUUCAUCCAUGUCCCUACAAAGACAUGAACUCAUCAUUUUUUAUGGCUUCAUAGUAUUCCAUGGUGUGUAUGAGCCACAUUUUCUUAAUCCAGUCUAUCAUUAUUGGAUAUUUGGGUUGGUUCCAAGUCUUUGCUAUUGUGAAUAGUGCCGCAAUAAACAUACAUGUGCAUGUGUCUUUAUAGCUGCAUGAUUUAUAAUCCUUUGGAUAUAUACCCAGUAAUGGGAUGGCUGAGUCAAAUGGUAUUUCUAGUUCUAUGUCCCUGAGGAAUCUCCACACUGGCUUCCACAAUGGUUGAACUAGUUUACAGUCCCACCAAUGGUGUAAAAGUGUUCCUGUUUCUCCACAUCCUCUCCAGCACCUGUUGUUUCCUGACUUUAUAAUGAUCGCCAUUCUAACUGGUGUAAGAUGGUAUCUCAUUGUGGUAUUGAUUUGCAUUUCUCUGAUGGCCAGUGAUGAGCAUUUUUUCAUGUGCCUUUUGGCUGCAUAAAUGUCUUCUUUUGAGAAGUGUCUGUUCAUAUCCUUCACCCACUUUUUGAUGGGGUUGUUUUUUUCUUGUAAAUUUGUUUGAGUUCAUUUCCUGUUCACUCUGAUGGUAGUUUCUUUUGCUGUGAAGAAGCUCUUUAGUUUAAUUAGAUCCCAUUUGUCAAUUUUGGCUUUUGUUGCCAUUGCUUUUGGUGUUUUAGACAUGAAGU